rnacentral:rRNA from 1 species
AGAGUUUGAUCCUGGCUCAGGAUGAACGCUGGCGGCGUGCUUAACACAUGCAAGUCGAACGAAGCGCUUCUGUGGAAGUUUUCGGAUGGAAACAGAAGUGACUGAGUGGCGGACAGGUGAGUAACGCGUGGGUAACCUGCCUCAUACAGGGGGAUAACAGCUGGAAACGGCUGCUAAUACCGCAUAAGCGCACAGUACCGCAUGGUACAGUGUGAAAAACUCCGGUGGUAUGAGAUGGACCCGCGUCUGAUUAGGUAGUUGGUGCGGUAACGGCGCACCAAGCCGACGAUCAGUAGCCGACCUGAGAGGGUGACCGGCCACAUUGGGACUGAGACACGGCCCAAACUCCUACGGGAGGCAGCAGUGGGGAAUAUUGCACAAUGGGGGAAACCCUGAUGCAGCGACGCCGCGUGAAGGAAGAAGUAUUUCGGUACGUAAACUUCUAUCAGCAGGGAAGAAGAUGACGGUACCUGACUAAGAAGCCCCGGCUAACUACGUGCCAGCAGCCGCGGU